AAAUUGUGGCGCGUGCUAGUUUCCAAGGCAACUAAGUAACCGGAAACGGAAGUUCAUCCAAGGGGCGGCGGUUAGCUCUGAGGUAGAAUCUGUUCGAUAUGACUAGGAACUGUUAACAUAGUCUCUGAAUUUUUGUUUUGUGUUAUAAGACACAAACUGGGUAGGGACAGAAGUUUGAGAAGGGAUAGAAAACUGUUACAAGCAGUCCAGAUAUUGUAUUCCUGCUUUCUCCCGGCAUGCACCUUUGUUACUUCGCCAUGGGACCUAACCACUUUGCAUUCUGGGAGUUGUAGUUUUAUUUCAUGACUCCUUAACCGUGGGGACUUUGGUAUAUUUUUUUGGUUUUUGUAUUCAGAUAAGAAAGGGAUUUUUUUUUAAGCUUGUACUUUUUCCCCGUUGUAUACCUUGAAAUCUCCUCAAUUAUCUUUCAGUGUGGAGCUAAGUGCGCACUUCUUAAUAGAACAGUACAGUGACCAAGCUUUCUCUACCAAGUAGAAGAUGAUCUACUAAUGCUGGGUUAUUGAACGGCAUUUUAUUAAGAAUAUAGCAAGCAAAAGUAAAAUAGCAGAUAGAAAUAGGAAGUAGCAGAUAGAAACAUCAGAUCGAUAAUUCAAUAAAUUCAAUAGAAUAAAUUGGAGGCUUACACAUACUUAGUUGAAAUCAACUAGGGAAGCCAUUGAGGUAGUUAGCUAGAAUUUCCAAUGAGAGUUCCAGGAAGAGCAGAAUGUCUAAUUGGGUAACUGUGCCAAGUAAAAUAACACAAGCCAAGAAGCAGAGAGAUAAGAGCAUCAAAUCAGGCCUUCCCAAGUAUUCCCCAGGAAUGACUAAAGCAAACCUUUUGAAAGAGUCAUAGCUGAGUUCCUAACCCAGAUUCUGGGCAGAAGCAGCUCUCUCUCUCACCUCCACUGUGCCAUCUUGAUCAUCUCCAAGAUGGAUGUAGAUAGUGUGAUACUGGGAUGGCUGAAACCUUUUAAAAUCUCAGUGACAUGUCUCUUCCCACAAGGCCACAUCGUCCCCAACAGCGCUACCAGCUGGGGAACUAAGUGUUCAAACAUCUGAACCUUGGGGGACAUUCUCAUUCAAACACCACAGAAGCUGAACUAGAUUCCAUGGGGAACAGUGAGUGGCAAGUCAUUCUAUCCACACGUCUCCAAUAAUCUAUCGGCCCUGUCAAAUGUGGCACCAAGUGUGUAUGAGGAAAGAUUACUGUCUUUUUUUUCUACAGAAACAACCAACCAAAUUGGUGUGGGCAGUAGGCUUCUCACUUCAAUGUGUCAACUGCAGCUUCAAACAGACGGACAAUAGCCAGUGGGGUUGUGUAUCCCCUAGUUCCUGGUAUAACAAGGAAAAGGCUGAAGUAAGUGUACAGUCACUCCUACUACAUAACAGCUGACUUUACUUACUUUCAUCCUGCCCUCAUCAGAGAAUUAGCAGCCAUGUGACUUCUUAGACAUCAUCACACAAGGGACAUUCAUGCAAUCAAUAAGAAGGAAGGAACAAAUCACACCCAUUUCAUGUGUGUGGAGUGAGUCUUUGGUCCACCAACGAUCUCCACAGAAAGCAGACUUCAGCAAUGCACAACGGAUGCAGGGAGAGCUUUGGGCUGCAGAAUUCUACCUCCAGACAACCUUCCAUAACUCUGAGAAUCUUUCGUCAGUUUAAAAAACGAGGCCCCAGGAUUCCUCUCUCACAAUCAGACAGAACUGGCCAAAGUCAAUGAGCAAAAUUGUCACCAUUUAAAUGGUAGAAGCCUGCAAAGUUACCCCAAACCGAGAGGCCCAUCAGCAGCCAGCUAGGAUGGACUCCUGUCCUGCUGUGUACUGGUAGGUACCCUCGGCUGGCUGCCCAGUUGCUCUCACCCACCAGAAUCUCCAGCUGUGUUGUAGCUUGUGCACGGAUGAGAUAAUGCUCACUAGUAUGAAUAAAUACAAUUUCUGAAAAAAAAAUACAUCUCAUACAAAAGUGGGAUGGACUCAUCUCAGCUGUUCAUGCCUAAAGACCUGAGGAAGAAGACAAUCUUGUCUGAGUUUCAGUUUGAAGAAGUUUCAUCUUUCAAAUGCCUUCUGCCAGCAAGAACCAACAGUGGUCAAUAAAGAUCGGCAAGUUCCCUCUUUCUGUGCUUCAGAAAAGCCAACUACAGAGAUCGGCACAUGACUCAGGUUCGUGAGAAGGAAACUGCUUUGCAGGGGCUUUAAAAAUACCGUCAAGUCCUAGAUUUCCAACCUCUAAGCUCCAGGGUUUGACACCAAGCAGGCUACCACCCUCUCUCGCACUUCCCCAUAGCCAUGGAGGAACAGAGCCGGGGACAUUAGUCAGCAGUUUCUGAAUCUUGACCCACAAUGGGAAAGAUACCCGAGCCAGGGGAAAUAGAUGGAGGCAAUUACAAACAGCUACUUGAUUGAUGGUUGACAUUGUCAGGCCUCCACUGUCUGGCAAAUUGCAAUGGUGUUGAACUCCCUUUGCUACCAGUGGAUGUUGCUAUUGGCAACCGUGCAGUAAAGCCAAUAAAAAGGCAAGAAGAGGAGAGGAAAACUCAACCUUUGUGGAAGCCGUAGGGUCUGUGCUAUAAAUUAUGUGCCCCUCAGCACUAUGUAGUAUCGACAUUCAGGGUGGAGGGGACCUGUCUCAUUGCUGCCUGCAGUCUCUGGAAGACCCUAGGUUCGGUAUUAUCAUAAAGCACACGUUUGAAAUUCUUGGCUGCAGAUGGACUGGUAUCCGUUUUUCUGCCUAUUUAUUUAUUUAUUGUUUGGAAGGGUACCAGAUGUGUGCUCACUGCAACCUCAUAUGGACUGACUCUCGAUUCCCAUCUUAGAUAUAAACGUGAUGAGGUGAUGUGGUGCAGUACCGGAAGGCACCUGGGCUGCAGACCAGAUGAUCAUGCAGACGGCCCAGCCCCACCCCAACCCUGUCUAUUCCUAGCUCCGCCUCUCCUUUGUUCCUCACCUGAAGGAGGGGAGACAGCUCUGCAGAAGCUAUUUUCCUUUAUAGCAGAGUGAUUCAGAAAACCGGCUUAAUAAAAUCCAUAAAUCUGAA
rnacentral:sRNA from 1 species